rnacentral:snRNA from 1 species
AUUGCUUCUCGGCCUUUUGGCUAAGAUCAAGUGUAGUAUUUUUACAGUUAUUACACAUAGGAUUCACUUGUAUGGAGUACCUAUCAUUGUACCUAUGAUGGUUUGUUCCACUUGUU